GAAAAGCUUACCAGACUCGCUGAACGCGGAACGAGAAACUGUUGCCAUAAGUGGAGGGUGUGGAUUCCUUGCGACUUGCAAGCCGAGACCUGCCUGGAAGAUACGAAAUCAUGAUCUCCGAGAUGCUGCUUCGCUCUUUGAUUCAAAAUC